GUAAGAAAGCACCAAAACCCUCCAUUAAAAACUCCAUGUAUGACACUGUACCAAAGAAGAGGAGCGAGCUGGUGCAUUUAUAUAGGUGGGGAGGUAGUCACGAGGGCUAUCUAGCUACAUCUUCCCUCCAAAAACAUGCAUGGCUCGCGUUGUUUGCAGCCACCAUCUCUCUCCCUUUGUCCAUCAAUCUUCUUUGAGAGCCAAGGCUGAAGUACUACUACUUCCCUUCACUGCCGCACAAACCCUAUUCGCCAUUUUGGUUCAUCCCAUAUGCGUCCUAUGUUGGUUUGAGAGGUUGAAGCUGCCAGCAUGAUCUGGUGAAACAAACACCAUCUCUUUCUUCUCUAACCCCAUGUCUGGAUUUGUCCACCGAUCCAUUCUUAUAGACCAGGCCGCCUGUUUCCCAUGUAGUGAUCGAUAAUUAGGCCGAGGGUUUUCACUUUUUACUGGGAUCUAAUCCUUAGGAUGGAUGUUUGUAUGGGUGGUAUAUAUCAUGGUGAGGUCUGUUUUCUAUUUUAAUUCUAAUGGGGUUUUGAUUUAGCUGAGGGGGUAUAAUUCAUAGCCUAAUUCCAAAACCUAACUCCAUAGAGAUAGGGUUCCAUGAUCAGGUCAUCUUGCAGCUUCAAUCACUCACUCACCGACAAACGAAGAUCGAUCCAACUCCUUCAAUCCAGCUCUUGAGGGGAUUUCCCUCCCACGACUACCUCAUAUCCAGGUUCUCGAGCCAAGUGAGCUAUGAUCAUCAAGAACUGAUCAAGGCCAGUCAUCUAUACUUUACUUCAGCAUCAUCCAACAAAGGUAGCAUCCCCCAUUGGAGUCAAAAAGCAGAAGGCAACUGCAAUUUAACUGAGUCAGAAAACAUCCAUGUCUAUAGGUUAUAAGCCAUAUGAACAAGUGGAUUGAAUAGAGAACAUGAGUUAUUUCAAUGGUGGGAUUCAGCUAUAUAUAUGUAUGGAAAAAAUGAAAAACUGAAGACCAUUGGGAGGAGAGGAUUGAGGCAAAAAUUCACAGCAGGCUAUGCAGGAUGGAACGGUUCAACUGUAUUGUGUGCCAUCAUCAUCAUCAUCAUCACAUCAUCAUCAUCAUCAUCAUCAUCAUCAUAUAUAUAUAUAUAUAUAUUUCUUAUGAGUUUGUCCAAGGAACAGCUCAACCAUUUGGCUCAAUCUGAUCAUGUAUGAAUUAUUAGUCUUAUCAUUAUUAUUAUUA